UGGGGAAUUUUGCACAAUGGGGGAAACCCUGAUGCAGCGACGCCGCGUGAUUUAGAAGGCCUUCGGGUUGUAAAAAUCUUUUGUAUGGGAAGAAAAUGACAGUACCAUACGAAUAAGGACCGGCUAAUUACGUGCCAGCAGCCGCGGUAAUACGUAAGGUCCGAGCGUUGUCCGGAAUCAUUGGGCGUAAAGGGUACGUAGGCGGAUAAGCAAGUUAGAAGUGAAAUCCUAUAGCUCAAUUAUAGUAAGCUUUUAAAACUGCUCAUCUUGAGGUAUGGAAGGGAAAGUGGAAUUCCUAGUGUAGCGGUGAAAUGCGCAGAUAUUAGGAGGAAUACCGGUGGCGAAGGCGACUUUCUGGCCAUAUACUGACGCUGAGGUACGAAAGCGUGGGUAGCAAACAGG
rnacentral:rRNA from 1 species